GUAGCCGUUAUCAUCUGGAUCAACGAACGGAGAAGAAAGAAGAUAUUAAACCUGGAUCACGAAAACGAAGAGAGGACUAAGAGAUAACUGUUGAAUUUUUAACAAGCCCUCGAAGCAGCGGGUAAACAAAUUUCCGUCGGUCUUCAAGGAUAUCGAAAAGAAGAAGGAGAAUGAAAUUUUCAAGCUCACCUUCUGGUAAACGGACAAGGGAGAAACGAGUUUUCGAAGGAUCUUUAGGAGUAAUUGGUUAAUGGCGGGAGAGAAGGAACGAGGAAGAAGACGGAUUGACGUAGAAGGAAUAUAAAAUUGGCGACGUUUAGGGGAA